AUUGAACGCUGGCGGCAGGCCUAACACAUGCAAGUCGAACGGUAACAGGAAGAAGCUUGCUUCUUUGCUGACGAGUGGCGGACGGGUGAGUAAUGUCUGGGAAACUGCCUGAUGGAGGGGGAUAACUACUGGAAACGGUAGCUAAUACCGCAUAACGUCGCAAGCCCAAAGAGGGGGACCUUCGGGCCUCUUGCCAUCGGAUGUGCCCAGAUGGGAUUAGCUAGUAGGUGGGGUAACGGCUCACCUAGGCGACGAUCCCUAGCUGGUCUGAGAGGAUGACCAGCCACACUGGAACUGAGACACGGUCCAGACUCCUACGGGAGGCAGCAGUGGGGAAUAUUGCGCAAUGGGCGCAAGCCUGAUGCAGCCAUGCCGCGUGUAUGAAGAAGGCCUUCGGGUUGUAAAGUACUUUCAGCGGGGAGGAAGGGAGUAAAGUUAAUACCUUUGCUCAUUGACGUUACCCGCAGAAGAAGCACCGGCUAACUCCGUG
rnacentral:rRNA from 1 species